rnacentral:rRNA from 1 species
AACGAACGCUGGCGGCAUGCCUAACACAUGCAAGUCGAACGAGAUCUUCGGGUCUAGUGGCGCACGGGUGCGUAGCGCGUGGGAAUCUGCCCUUUGGUUCGGAAUAACAGUUGGAAACGACUGCUAAUACCGGAUGAUGACGAAAGUCCAAAGAUUUAUCGCCAGAGGAUGAGCCCGCGUAGGAUUAGCUGGUUGGUGGGGUAAAGGCGCACCAAGGCGACGAUCCUUAGCUGGUCUGAGAGGAUGAUCAGCCACACUGGGACUGAGACACGGCCCAGACUCCUACGGGAGGCAGCAGUGGGGAAUAUUGGACAAUGGGCGAAAGCCUGAUCCAGCAAUGCCGCGUGAGUGAUGAAGGCCUUAGGGUUGUAAAGCUCUUUUACCCGGGAUGAUAAUGACAGUACCGGGAGAAUAAGCUCCGGCUAACUCCGUGCCAGCCGCCGCCGUAA